GGAUGUGAAGGUGAUCUGGCUGUGACAUCUGCCAUCCCAUUGAUCACCUGACUGAUGUGGCUGAUCUGGCUAGCUAAGCAGGUGCACCCCACCACCACCACCACUACUGCUCUAUGUGUGUCCUUCCCAAAACUGGGAAGAGGAUGAUCUUUCCCUAAUAGAGGAGGACCAUGUUUUUGUCAAGGGUAUGUGAGUAGCUGCUAGAACCUCCAAACAAACUCUCAAGAUGGAAUUACACUCACACAAGCCAAGGAACUGCCAGAAUCCAGAAGAGAAGGCUGCAGUAGAUUCUUCCCU
rnacentral:snRNA from 1 species